UCCGCCCUUGUGUUCAUCAAUCAGCUUGUUAGUCUUCAUUUUGUGCUAUUGUUAAUGCAUGUUAUGGAUUGGGAAAGUGAAGUUCAGAGAGGCCAAGAAUUCAUUCAAGGAGACAGAAUUAUCAAGGAACUGAGCUGGAUUCAAACCUAAAUCUAUUUGACUUAGGGUCUAUAUUUCUAAAACAUCAAAUUAUACCACUCCCAUGCUUGGCCCCUUGCCAGCACUUAUCUGACUGCUUUCACCCUAUCAUGGCUAGAUUCUGGAGUAAGCCAAAGAAGAUGGACAGGCACCUAUGCUGUCUGUAGCACUAAGUAUCUGGGCAGGCAAAUGCCAAGAAGAUCCCAGAGUGGGGUAAGCGACUCAAAAUACAAUUCCAAAUAGGAAAGUCACUCCUCUUUCCAGUAGGAGAAUGGGUAGAGAGAAGCCAGGACCAGGAGACUAAUUCUGAUGGAGAUAUAUCUUCUCUGAACACGAACUCUGGAAUCGAAGACUCCCCUCCAUGUGAAACAUGGAUCUUGAAGGGCUACCAGCUGCCACUGUGAUCAUAAAGAUUACGCUUGACCAGAAUGAGCUGGUGUUGCCUUUGGAAGCCAACAAGAGCAUGUAAAGAUUUUUGAGCCAUCAAUGCAAAGAGCUGGAUCCCUAAUUUUGGGCAUGAACAGAAAGGGAACUCUACUACACACCUUUGUCUACUUGUUUCCCUCUAAUACCACCCAUUCAAAUAUAGAUGUCCAGCGUCCAGCCAGGACUGAAUUGGGGCCAUCAUGGACACAUUUCCAUGGAUGGCUGAGCACUGAUGAAUGCAUUCCAAAUAGAAUUAGCACCACAUAUUGGUUGUCUCCAUUAUGAAAUGUGCACGAAGAAAGACAUCAAAGUCUCUUCCCUAAUAAUGGCUGUACGAGCUUGCAUUCCCAACAACCAUGUAAGAGGGCUCCCCUGUCUCAACAAGUAUUGGCAAGGAUGUGAAAUUGAGCUAUUCUUGACAAGAGAAAAAUGACUCACCCAAGAUUGCUUUAGUUCAGCAAAUUGUAUCACAUCAUGAAAUAGAAUGACAUCUUUGAAGCCAGAGCUCCGUAUUUCUUGAAGCGACAUGUAAGAAAUGGAAAAUGAGCCUCAUUUUCUGAAGAAGGUGGGAAAACAACUUAAAAAAAAAACAACAUGAACUCAAA